rnacentral:rRNA from 1 species
UACGUAGGUGGCAAGCGUUGUCCGGAUUUACUGGGCGUAAAGAGCGCGCAGGCGGUCGUCCAAGUCGCGUGUGAAAGCCCCCGGCUCAACUGGGGAGGGUCACGCGAUACUGGUCGACUCGAAGGCAGGAGAGGGUGUGGAAUUCCCGGUGUAGUGGUGAAAUGCGUAGAUAUCGGGAGGAACACCAGUGGCGAAGGCGACUACCUGGCCUGUUCUUGACGCUGAGGCGCGAAAGCUAGGGGAGCAAACGGG